GAUGAACGCUGGCGGCGUGCCUAAUACAUGCAAGUCGAGCGAACAGACGAGGAGCUUGCUCCUCUGACGUUAGCGGCGGACGGGUGAGUAACACGUGGAUAACCUACCUAUAAGACUGGGAUAACUUCGGGAAACCGGAGCUAAUACCGGAUAAUAUAUUGAACCGCAUGGUUCAAUAGUGAAAGACGGUUUUGCUGUCACUUAUAGAUGGAUCCGCGCCGCAUUAGCUAGUUGGUAAGGUAACGGCUUACCAAGGCGACGAUGCGUAGCCGACCUGAGAGGGUGAUCGGCCACACUGGAACUGAGACACGGUCCAGACUCCUACGGGAGGCAGCAGUAGGGAAUCUUCCGCAAUGGGCGAAAGCCUGACGGAGCAACGCCGCGUGAGUGGUGAAGGUCUUCGGAUCGUAAAACUCUGUUAUUAGGGAAGAACAAAUGUGUAAGUAACUAUGCACGUCUUGACGGUACCUAAUCAGAAAGCCACGGCUAACUACGUG
rnacentral:rRNA from 1 species